CAAUUUCGAGAUUUAGGUUAAUAAGAAAGAUUUCUGAAAAUUUUUGUAACAACAAACAAUCAUGUAAAAAAUUCAUGCUACAAAAGAUAAUCGACAGAAACGAUUGUUUUGUAAUAACAAAUCGCGGUAAGAAGUUCGAAAAUAUUUAUCGCCUAAUCGAAAGUUCGAUGCGGAUCUUACUACGCUGAAACGAAAGAGUUACGCAAUGAAGGAGUUAAUGGAAGUACAAAAAGGUGGAAUUAAAGAAGCGUUAAGAGUGUGGUACUGCUUUUGAUAUCCUUAUCAGUUUGGCUUUGUGUAUGUCGUUGGGGAUUUCGAUACAACUUGAAAGACCGAGAAAUUCUUUCCUGCCUGAUCCUAUAUUUUAUCGUCAUUAGCUUAUUAAAUAUGCUUUUUUUGGGACACAUACAAUUUUACUGUAAUUCUGCACAAGCGAUGAAAAAUUAAUUUCGAUUAAUUA